UCAAAUGAAUUGACGGGGCCCGCACAAGCGGAGGAACAUGUGGUUUAAUUCGAUGAUACGCGAGGAACCUUACCUGGGCUUAAAUGCAGAGUGCAUGAAGUGGAAACACUUCUUCCCUUCGGGGCUCUUUGCAAGGUGCUGCAUGGUUGUCGUCAGCUCGUGCCGUGAGGUGUCGGGUUAAGUCCCAUAACGAGCGCAACCCUUAUCGUUAGUUGCCAGCGGGUAAAGCCGGGAACUCUAGCGAAACUGCCGGUGUAAACCGAGAGGAGGGUGGGGAUGACGUCAAAUCAGCACGGCCCUUAUGUCCAGGGCUACACACGUGCUACAAUGGGCGGUACAAAGGGUCGCGAACCCGCGAGGGGGAGCCAAUCCCACAAAGCCGAUCGUAGUCCGGAUCGCAGUCUGCAACUCGACUGCGUGAAGUCGGAAUCGCUAGUAAUCGUGGAUCAGCAUGUCACGGUGAAUACGUUCCCGGGUCUU
rnacentral:rRNA from 1 species